AACGAACGCUGGCGGCAUGCCUAACACAUGCAAGUCGAACGAGACCUUCGGGUCUAGUGGCGCACGGGUGCGUAACGCGUGGGAACCUGCCCUUAGGUUCGGAAUAACUCCCCGAAAGGGGUGCUAAUACCGGAUAAUGUCUUCGGACCAAAGAUUUAUCGCCUUUGGAUGGGCCCGCGUUGGAUUAGCUAGUUGGUAGGGUAAAAGCCUACCAAGGCGACGAUCCAUAGCUGGUCUGAGAGGAUGAUCAGCCACACUGGGACUGAGACACGGCCCAGAAUCCUACGGGAGGGAGGAGUGGGGAAUAUUGGAAAAUGGGCGAAAGCCUGAUCCAGCAAUGCCGCGUGAGUGAUGAAGGCCUUAGGGUUGUAAAGCUCUUUUACCCGGGAUGAUAAUGACAGUACCGGGAGAAUAAGCUCCGGCUAACUCCGUG
rnacentral:rRNA from 1 species